CUUGCUCAGGUCUUUUAUACAACCC
rnacentral:piRNA from 1 species